CAAUAGCGUAUAUUAAAGUUGUUGCAGUUAAAAAGCUCGUAGUUGGAUUUGUGGCGUACGGUGUGUUCCGGGCACUUGUUGUCUGAGUAACCUGCUGUUGCCAUCCUUGGGUGGAACCUGUGUGGCAUUAGGUUGUCGUGCAGGGGAUGCCCAUCGUUUACUGUGAAAAAAUUAGAGUGUUCAAAGCAGGCUUAUGCCGUUGAAUAUAUUAGCAUGGAAUAAUGAGAUAGGACUUUUUCGCUAUUUUGUUGGUUUGCGCGAAGAGGUAAUGAUUAAUAGGGACAGUUGGGGGUAUUCGUAUUCCAUUGUCAGAGGUGAAAUUCUUGGAUUUUUGGACGACGAACUACUGCGAAAGCAUUUACCAAGGAUGUUUUCAUUAA
rnacentral:rRNA from 1 species